rnacentral:rRNA from 1 species
CACAAGCGGUGGAGCAUGUGGUUUAAUUCGAUGAUACGCGAGGAACUUACCUGGGCUCAAAUGUAUGUUGACGUAUUCUGAAAGGGAUACUUCUUCGGACAAUAUACAAGGUGCUGCAUGGUUGUCGUCAGCUCGUGCCGUGAGGUGUCGGGUUAAGUCCCAUAACGAGCGCAACCCUACCUUUAGUUGCCAUCAGGUAAUGCUGGGGACUCUAAAGGAACUGCCUACGCAAGUAGUGAGGAAGGCGGGGAUGACGUCAAAUCAGCACGGCCCUUACGUCCAGGGCUACACACGUGCUACAAUGGCCGAUACAGAGGGCAGCUACCUGGUGACAGGAUGCAAAUCUCCAAAGUCGGUCUCAGUUCGGAUCGGAGUCUGCAACCCGACUCCGUGAAGUUGGAUUCGCUAGUAAUCGCGCAUCAGCCAUGGCGCGGUGAAUACGUUCCCGGGCCUU